GACGAACGCUGGCGGCGUGCCUAAUACAUGCAAGUCGAACGCACAGUUUAUACCGUAGCUUGCUACACCAUAGACUGUGAGUUGCGAACGGGUGAGUAACGCGUAGGUAACCUGCCUGGUAGCGGGGGAUAACUAUUGGAAACGAUAGCUAAUACCGCCUAAUACUUAUUAUUGCAUGAUAAUUAACUGAAAGGUGGAAUUGCACCACUACCAGAUGGACCUGCGUUGGAUUAGCUAGUAGGUGAGGUAACGGCGCACCUAGGCGACGAGACAUAGCCGACCGGCGAGGGUGGGCGGCCACCCUGGGACGGUGACACGGCCCAGUGUCCUACGGGAGGCAGCAGUAGGGAAUCUUCGGCAAUGGGCGAAAGUCUGACCGAGCAACGCCGCGGGAGGGAGGAAGAGUGUCGGAUCGGAAAGCUCUGUUGUAAGGGAAGAACGGGUGUGAGAGUGGAAAGUUCACACUGUGACGGUAACUUACCAGAAAGGGACGGCUAACUACGUG
rnacentral:rRNA from 1 species